ACCGGCUGAGGAGAAAGUGCCAAGGGAAAUCAAUGGGAAAAUUACAGAGGUGUAACCCAGGGCUGGGCAUCUGCCAGCUCGGAGGGUUUCCUGGCUCUGCCUUGGUUUUACCAACUUGUGGUUGCUGUUACCUGUAUGACACAGUGGACCAAGGGACAACUGCCCCACAGCACAGGCUCAGUCUGACCCCUUUAGAGAGAUUCUCUUAUCGGAUGGAAGAGAGGGACCAGGGCUCCUGGCAGCCCUUGCUCGGGGAAUGAAGCUGAGAGCAGUGGGAAGUGGUGACACUGAAUUCUCAGGGCCAUGAUGAAGAGGAACGUCUUUGUCAUAUGAAAAACAGGUGUUAUUGUUUAGAUGUCUGCACAUCUAUGAUUAUUGCACCUUGAGAAACAGUAAACCAGGCUAAGUGCCUUGUGUACUGCUGUACACGAGGACUGUAUGAAGAAAGCAGGAGGUAGCCUACACUGGCUAGCACCUGUUCACAGCAAAUACAAACAAAAUUCUGGUGGUUUUGCUGCACAAAGACAGCAGGACUUGAAGCCAUAGCAGAGAAGAGCCAUCUCACAGAAGGCCGUCGUCCCCUUAUCUGCACAUGCUGAGAUCUGUCUCCAGUUCUGGCCUGCCCGGGAACAGUUUGAUGGAACAGUUUUGAGCAUUACCUUAUUGAAGUGGCCUCAGCACAGUGGCUGAGUCCAGUGGUCCAGCCCUGACUCAGUUCCCUGUGCUUUCCCUCUGGCGUUCCUGCCACAACCCCCAGAGAUGGAUGGAUGUGGCAGAUGGACGUUCCCCCUUUGCAGAUACCCAAUGACAUUGGAGUCCUAGCCUAGCAGGGACUCCAUCCAUUCAGAGCUUGGGUCUCCCGCCUAUCCAAGCUCCCAAGUGCUGGGUGGGCAGCCAGAAGCUGGGCCGAAUCGGCAGCUGAGACCAAGGAGGAGACCCCUGUCCCCAGAAGAUCUGAAAGGCUUUUUCUCUUGGUAGACAGAGAACAAAGCUAGAAGAUGGAAUCUUCUGCUGUUGUUAGCUUCCUGAUUAUGUCAACCUUUUUCAGAAGCCCAAUUCUUUUUCCCGGGGUUCCUGCCACAGCCCCUUGGUUGGCAGGUGUGUGUUCACCCUUCACACCACCUUGAGCUAAGUCAGCCCCAGUCAAGGUUACCUUGCACAGUGUGACGGGGAGCGCUGGGCAUCUCGUGUGAGUUUUCUUCUUCUUUCAUUUUGGGUAAGUUGUCCUUGGUCACUGAAGGGAGGAAGAAAAAUCAUCACAGGUACAAGGGCUGGGUGUCAGGGAGGAGGGUGGAUGGUAAAAAUGCCUGGAGCAGAUGGAGCCCCCAGGCCCAAGGGCAGAGGUUGGGAUGUCCCAGCAGUGGGAAGCAGGUAUUCUGGGCUCUAGGCCUUACCAGGCCCCAGGAAGUACUCACAAUCCUACUUGAAAAGGGCUGUGUAUGGGCGGAUGGGUGCAAGGGAAGGACCAGAUGAAUAAAAGAUGAGAGCCUGGGGUUGUAGGUAGUAUGGUGCAGGUGCCCUAGGCUGGGCUGCACAGGUGUUGGAUGGGGGCUGUUUCUCACCUGCAGUUCUCCUUCCUUCCUGGAUGAGUCCAGGGAGAGACACGGCAGGGUCAGAAGAGCUGGGUGGUUCGCCCGGGAUCUCAUUGCUUUGCUGCGAGGAUGCUCCAGGCUCACUGCCUUUGGACACACGGAGCGGACAGCUGUGUGGAGCGGGUGGCGGUGGGGGCAGCAGUGGCAGGGUCUGGAGGGAGUGCCCUUGGGCUGGGCCGGCUGGGACUUCCAGUAGGGUUGGUGUGGCUCUGCUCCACUGUCCAUAGGAAGUGGUAACUGGGAUUGGUGAAGGAACACACAUCAGCACCCUGUAGACUCAGAAUUAUUUGGGGAUGGGAAUUUCUUAAUACGUGCCUUCCAAUAGGAAGGAGACAUACAGUUUUCAUUCUUCCCAUGGUGCAUAGAACCGACGCAUUGUCAUCAUUAUCCAUUUGUGGCCCCUUUCUGUCUUAUUUAUUUGAUUUGGGCAUUCAGUACUGCAAUAAGUACAUUUAACCCCCGAUCUAAUACCAAAGUGGUUUCGCACAUAAGGUCGAGUUUGAGUUUGUACCCAGGGAUAGAAUUUAGUCCGUGAUGUACAUGCUAUAAUUUUAAUAGAGGUCUCUAUUUUAAUAAAUGAACCUAUUAUACCUCCAUGGGGCAAAUAAGAAAAUAAAAAUUCAUUAGCAGGGUGAGGGUGUAUCAGGACCUUUACAUACUGGUUUCUGCUCAUUUCUGCAGACCCAGUCUCCGUACCUUCUAUCACACCCUAUGAUCUGGCCAUAUCAGCAUUUUCCCCCACCUGCAAUACUCCAGGCCCUUGGCUUUCCACAUGCUGUCCCCCUGCAUGGCUAGUGCCAGGUUUCUCUUACAAUUCUUCUCCAUCAUUUAUUUCAGAAGUAAAGUUGUCUCUGGUGGCUCACGCCUGUAA